GUUGUUGACCGGGCAGAGCUUCUAUUUUCCGAAGUACUCAAUGCUUUGAGUCAAAUCGCAGAGAAAAGAUCUAGUGCAGGACCAGCAAACAGCGCCAUGAAACUACCUGAAUCAAGAGGCCAAAUUGGAGAACUAGAAAUAAUGUUAAAAAAGGAGAAGGCAGAAUUUGAGGAGUCGCUCCAAAAAGCUUUGAACAGAGAAGCAAAAAAGGCUCAGCCUGUUAUUGACAUUCUUGAGAUCAAUAGAUUGCGACGGCAGUUGCUUUUCCAAUCUUAUAUGUGGGACCACCCCGCCUAAUUUAUGCAGCCAAUUUAGAUAACAACAGUCUUCAGGAUAAUUUGAAUAGGUCAAGUUCAGGACAUGAGGAAAAACCCAUAGCUAAUACUGAGCAGCUCAAUGAGAUGAAUGUGAAUGCCAAGCCAGGAAAAGGUUUUAGUAGCUGCAACUCUCUGCCUGUAGAUACAUUGUUGCUUAAAAUCCCUGAUCAGCAAGGAGGACUUGGCAGUAAUCCUGACCACUCUGACACAGCCCAUGAAAAAGAUAAGAGUCAAGGUUCUAAUCAGGGAAAGGAAGACCACACUAAGCUUUCAGCUGUCAUUCCCAUCUGUGAUCAACCCAGCAGCCUGGAAUACAGUGGAAAUGUUCGCAGGACCGUUUCUGAGGGACAGGUUCCUAUCAUGUCAAAUUUAUCUGAUACCCUUGAUGCUGCAUGGACAGGAGAGAAUCUCCUAGGAGUUGGAAUAUCAAAGGAUGAUAUCAGUGUGCUUUCUGAUUCAGCUGUUGCAGAUUUGUCAACCACAUCUACAGUGCUGGAAGGGUUGGAUUUGUACAA
rnacentral:misc_RNA from 1 species